AAAGAACAAAUAAAAUGAAUUACUUUUAUUUGUUAACUUUUGCAUUAUUUCUGGAAUGUAGUGUAUGUGCUUUAAACCAUGAAAACAAACGUCUCUUGUUAAAUGACCCAGAUGCUAUUGUUCGUUUGACCAACUUAGAACAGCAAAACCAGCUGCUAACACAAAAGGUCUUGGAUCUGGAAUCUAAAAUGGCGACAAGGCAGGGUAAGUCUGUAUAAAGGUUUAAACAUUAUUUUUGCAAAAACACACAUUUCAUAAUACUAUUACUAACUACAAAAAGAGGACGAAGACAAAUUAACGUACAGUUUAAAAUAAAUAUACUAUCCCACUAUCAAAACAUUAAUUUAUCCUGAUUUGUUAAAGUUACAAUAGCUAUUGGUACAUGCACGCUUGAAGCCGUAUUUGGCACAACUUAUUGGAAUUUGCUGUCCUCACUGCUGUUCAUCUUUAUACUUGGUUGGCUUUUUAACUAUCUCAUUCUGAGCAUCACUGAUGAGUCUUAUGUAGACAAAAAGCGCGUAUCAAAUUAUAACCCUGAUACUUUUUAUGACUGACAAACCGAGUUUAGUUUUGAACGUGUCAUUGCAAGGUCAAAUUACGGAAUAGGACGUGCUAUAUACCAAUACGUGUAUAUCCGAUAUUUUUACUACAAUUUUCCAAUCUUUCUUGCUCCUUUUACAAUGUUUUGUAGAUUUGUGCUAGUAAAUUUUUAAGUGGAGUUCAUGAAAAACUGUCUAUUUGGUAACGACAACAAACACAUAGCAAACUCAUAUGUUAUUCCUUUAUUUAAAUAAUUGUAAUAUUUUCUAGAAGUUAACAAUUUAGCAUGGUAGAGUUUUGGAAAAUCUUUCGGAAAGGAACAUAGGCAGUAAAAUUACUUAUUUCUCAACAUGAACAAUUAAAUUAAAAAUGUACUUAUUUUUCGACGUGUUUGUUUUUCGUUUUACGUAUACAUUUAGACAUUUCUUUCCAUUGUUAUUUACAGAACACGGAUCCACAUAUGUUCGAUGGGGAAGAACUCAAUGUGAAGGCACAAAUACUGAACUUGUUUAUUCAGG
rnacentral:lncRNA from 1 species